rnacentral:pre_miRNA from 1 species
AAUGUACUCCCUCCAUCCAACAAAAGAUGUCUUAACUUUGACUAAAUUUGAAUGUAUCUAUACACUAAGUCAUGUCUAGAUACAUCCAAUUUUUGACAAACUUGAGACAUCUUUUGUUGGACGGAGGGAGUACAUC